ACGAGUUUGAUCAUGGCUCAGAACGACGCUGGCGGCGCGCCUAACACAUGCAAGUCGAACGAGAAUCCGGGGCAACCCGGUAGUAAAGUGGCAAACGGGUGAGGAAUACAUGGGUAACCUACCCUUGAGAAGGGAAUAACCCGCCGAAAGGUGAGCUAAUACCCUAUACGCUAUCUUUUUUUCGAAAAGGAUAGGAAAGCCGGGUCGAGGACCUGGUACUCAAGGAGGGGCUCAUGUCCUAUCAGCUUGUUGGUGGGGUAACGGCCUACCAAGGCUACGACGGGUAGCUGGUCUGAGAGGAUGAUCAGCCACACUGGCACUGAGAUACGGGCCAGACUCCUACGGGAGGCAGCAGUGAGGAAUAUUGCGCAAUGGGCGAAAGCCUGACGCAGCGACGCCGCAUGGGGAUGAAGGUUUUCGGAUUGUAAACCCCUUUCAUGAGGAAAGAUAAAGUGGGUAACCACUUAGACGGUACCUCAAGAAGAAGCCACGGCUAACUUCGUG
rnacentral:rRNA from 1 species